GCGCCCGUAGCUCAGCUGGAUAGAGUACCUGGCUACGAACCAGGUGGGCUACGAACCAGGUGGUCGGAGGUUCGAAUCCUCCCGGGCGCACCA
rnacentral:tRNA from 1 species